rnacentral:rRNA from 1 species
CAGCCGCCGCGGGAAUACGUAGGGUGCGAGCGUUAAUCGGAAUUACUGGGCGUAAAGCGUGCGCAGGCGGUUGUGUAAGACAGGUGUGAAAUCCCCGGGCUUAACCUGGGAACUGCGCUUGUGACUGCACAGCUAGAGUAUGGCAGAGGGGAGUGGAAUUCCACGUGUAGCAGUGAAAUGCGUAGAGAUGUGGAGGAACACCGAUGGCGAAGGCAGCCCCCUGGGCCAAUACUGACGCUCAUGCACGAAAGCGUGGGGAGCAAACAGGAUUAGAUACCCCUGUAGUCCCUGUCUCUUAUAC